rnacentral:rRNA from 1 species
UACGGAGGGGGCUAGCGUUGUUCGGAAUUACUGGGCGUAAAGGGCGCGCAGGCGGCUGCUCAAGUAAGGCGUGAAAGGCCUGGGCUCAACCCGGGAACUGCGUCCGAAACUGGCAGGCUCGAAUCCGGGAGAGGGAUGCGGAAUUCCAGGUGUAGCGGUGAAAUGCGUAGAUAUCGUUUGGAACGCCAAAGGUGAAAACAGGCGACUGGAGACAAUCUGACGCUGAGACGCGAAAGCCAGGGGAGCAAACGGG